GGAGAUGUGGCUCAGCAGUAGAGUUCUUGCCUUGCACGCACAAGCCCUGGGUUUGAUCCCUAGCAUCACAA
rnacentral:tRNA from 1 species